AGUGAACGCUGGCGGUAGGCCUAACACAUGCAAGUCGAACGGCAGCACAGUAAGAGCUUGCUCUUACGGGUGGCGAGUGGCGGACGGGUGAGGAAUACAUCGGAAUCUACUUUUUCGUGGGGGAUAACGUAGGGAAACUUACGCUAAUACCGCAUACGACCUACGGGUGAAAGCAGGGGAUCUUCGGACCUUGCGCGAUUGAAUGAGCCGAUGUCGGAUUAGCUAGUUGGCGGGGUAAAGGCCCACCAAGGCGACGAUCCGUAGCUGGUCUGAGAGGAUGAUCAGCCACACUGGAACUGAGACACGGUCCAGACUCCUACGGGAGGCAGCAGUGGGGAAUAUUGGACAAUGGGCGCAAGCCUGAUCCAGCCAUACCGCGUGGGUGAAGAAGGCCUUCGGGUUGUAAAGCCCUUUUGUUGGGAAAGAAAAGCAGCAGGUUAAUACCCCGCUGUUCUGACGGUACCCAAAGAAUAAGUACCGGCUAACUUCGUA
rnacentral:rRNA from 1 species